rnacentral:rRNA from 1 species
GGGCCCGCACAAGCGGUGGAGUAUGUGGUUCAAUUCGAUGCUACGCGAAAAACCUUACCCAGGCUUGACAUCCCCGGCUACCCUGGGAAACCAGGGGUUCUCUUCGGAGACCGGGUGACAGGUGCUGCAUGGCUGUCGUCAGCUCGUGUUGUGAGAUGUUGGGUUAAGUCCCGCAACGAGCGCAACCCUCGUCGUUAGUUGCCAGCAUUAAGUUGGGCACUCUAACGAGACCGCUAGGCUAUAAGCCAGAGGAAGGUGGGGAUGACGUCAAGUCCUCAUGGCCUUUAUGCCUGGGGCUACACACGUACUACAAUGGGAGUUACAAUGCGCAGCGACGUCGCGAGGCGGAGCAAAUCGCAAAAAACCUCCCCCAGUUCAGAUUGGAGUCUGCAACUCGACUCCAUGAAGUUGGAAUCGCUAGUAAUCGCGGAUCAGCAUGCCGCGGUGAAUACGUUCCCGGGCCUU